rnacentral:rRNA from 1 species
CCUACGGGAGGCAGCAGUGAGGAAUAUUGGUCAAUGGGCGUAAGCCUGAACCAGCCAAGUCGCGUGAGGGAUGAAGGUUCUAUGGAUCGUAAACCUCUUUUAUAAGGGAAUAAAGUGUGGGACGUGUCCUGUUUUGUAUGUACCUUAUGAAUAAGGAUCGGCUAACUCCGUGCCAGCAGCCGCGGUAAUACGGAGGAUCCGAGCGUUAUCCGGAUUUAUUGGGUUUAAAGGGUGCGUAGGCGGCCUUUUAAGUCAGCGGUGAAAGUCUGUGGCUCAACCAUAGAAUUGCCGUUGAAACUGGGAGGCUUGAGUAUGUUUGAGGCAGGCGGAAUGCGGGGUGUAGCGGUGAAAUGCUUAGAUAUCACGCAGAACCCCGAGUGCGAAGGCAGCCUGCCAAGCCAUGACUGACGCUGAUGCACGAAAGCGUGGGGAUCAAACAGGAUUAGAUACCCCAGUAGUC